UUGGAAAGUGGAUUUUGAAUUGGCCAAUUGAACAGAAGCAGCAUUACGGACAUUGGUCAAUCAAAAUAACACAAAGGUCAACAAUGCUGGUAUGGGGAGCACUGUAGAGUACGAGUACGCUGGCCAACCUCUCGCCCACCCACUGUUUUCUUGCACUGGUGCAGGCACAGCAGUCAACAAUGACAAUAUCUAGGGUGCUAAUGGGCACACACGGUAUUCAGGAUUCUGCCUAAUGUUCCCACUUACUACCUCCUUAUCUCUUGUGGUGUGGCUGCUAAAACGCCCUGCUCCACUUGGCGGGGGGAUGGUUGAAAUCUUUCAGUUGCUGGUGGUGGUGUGACUUGGUUUGGCGAAAGGAGGCCUGGUCAUGUGACGACAAUACUGUGUCCCAUGACCAACUGUACCCCGUGGAUUGCCCAGUAGUGGCAUGCAGUGCAUCACUAUCACAGGGGAUCGGCCGGGGACGUUUAGCUGUGUUGGCGGUAUGCAGUGGGGGAGAUGUCCUAUCUACAUGGGUUGUCACCACCAAUCUGAUAGGUGAACCGGUUGCUAAUGUCAACAGGAAAGCACGUGGCUUUGGCAGAUGGGGUGGAUGACGUGCGUUGUAGCUGUCACAUGCAGUGGCGAUUCCUGGUCGUGUCCAGCACCUGUCACACAUACUCCUCACGUGCAGGAACGCCUUGCACGUUGCUGUCAUCUUGUCCUGCCUCUGAUCUGGCCUGCACAUUUCUUUUCUGGAUUUGCCCGACUAUGAUUGUCAGCAACAUUCUGUCUGCGCGCUCAUGUAUUGUGUUGCGUAGUCUGUGCUAUCUCCGUUUUCCUGAUCAAGUGGUGGAUAGGUGCUAAUGACGCAGUUUCAAUGUUCUCUAGAUCCCAAGGUAGAUCUUUACACCGUUUCAAUCGGUGUGCCUUGAAUGAGGAGGGCGUAUAGUGUACGUGCAGGUUCUGGGCAGGACUGUUGUUUCCUUUGCAUCCAAGCCUGAAUUUACAAUGGUGUGUUGGCCAACUGAUAUGUCCUGAGGCUAUAGUUGCAAUGGUUGCUUUUUUUGCUUAGAAGGAUUGGCAAGGUUCCAGUGAAUGAUCUCUUGCAGACAAUUAUUUGUUUGCAACUUUGUAGAUUGCAUAUGCUUUGUAGUGAUAGGGAAGAAGGUAGCAAUGGUUCUUGUUCAGUCCCAGCAAAAUGGUUCUGUACUGGUA